GCUGGGUGCAGUGGCGUGUGUCUGUAAUCCCAGCAGCUGAGGAGGCUGAGGCAGGAGGAUCCCGAGUUGAAAGCCAGCCUCAA
rnacentral:sRNA from 1 species